rnacentral:pre_miRNA from 1 species
UUGAAUGUGAAUUGAUUUAUGUUUGGAUACUAAAAGUGAUUCUUGCGGGUUGAUGUUGUUUGGAUAG